GCCCCCGUAGCUCAGUGGAUAGAGCAGUCGCCUUCUAAGCGAUUGGUCGCAGGUUCGAGUCCUGCCGGGGGCACCU
rnacentral:tRNA from 1 species